UGAAUACGAGACGCUAAGGCGUCGAUGUAGUGUAUGUCAUACUUCCAAGAAAAGCUUGCACUGUCAUAGAUAAAAAACGCCUGUACCAUAACCGACACAGGUGGGUAGGUAGAGUAUACUAAGGGGCGCGAGAUAACUCUCUCUAAGGAACUCGGCAAAAUAACUCCGUAACUUCGGGAGAAGGAGUGCCUUAUUCGUAAGGUUGCAAUAACAAGAUCCAAGCAACUGUUUAUCAAAAACACAGGUCUCCGCUAAGUCGUAAGACGAUGUAUGGGGGCUGACGCCUGCCCAGUGCCAGAAGGUUAAAGAAGUUGGUUAGCAAUUGCGAAGCUGAUAACUGAAGCCCUGGUGAACGGCGGCCGUAACAAUAACGGUCCUAAGGUAGCGAAAUUCCUUGUCGGGUAAGUUCCGACCCGCACGAAAGGCGUAAUGAUUUGGAUACUGUCUCGGAGAGGGGCUCGGUGAAAUAGACUUGUCUGUGAAGAUGCGGACUGCCUGCACCAGGACAGAAAGACCCUAUGAAGCUUUACUGUAACUUGAAAUUGAAAUUGGACUUUAUUCGCGCAGUAUAGGUGGGAGGCGUUGAUUAUAAUCUUGUGGGAUUAUUGGAGCCAUCAGUGAGAUACCACUCUUGUAAUGUUAGAUUUCUAACUUUGAAUCAUUAUCUGGUCAAAGAACAGUUUCAGGCGGGCAGUUUGACUGGGGCGGUCGCCUCCUAAACGGUAACGGAGGCGUACAAAGGUUUCCUCUGAACGGUUAGAAAUCGUAUCUGGAGUGUAAAGGCAUAAGGAAGCUUGACUGUGAGACCUACAAGUCGAGCAGGGGCGAAAGUCGGUCUUAGUGAUCUGACGGUACUGAGUGGAAAGGCCGUCACUCAACGAAUAAAAGUUACUCUAAGGAUAACAGGCUGAUCUCCCCCAAGAGUUCACAUCGACGGGGAGGUUUGGCACCUCGAUGUCGGCUCAUCGCAUCCUGGGGCGGUAGUACGUCCCAAGGGUUGGGCUGUUCGCCCAUGAAAGCGGUACGCGAGCUGGGUUCAGAACGUCGUGAGACAGUUCGGUCCAUAUCCGGUGUAGGCGUUAGAAUACUGAGAGGAGCCUUCUUUAGUACGAGAGGACCGAGAAGGACAUACCUCUGGUGUACCAGUUAUCGUGCCAACGGUAAACGCUGGGUAGCUAUGUAUGGAGUGGAUAACCGCUGAAAGCAUCUAAGUGGGAAGCCCACCUCAAGAUAAGUAUUCUCAUC
rnacentral:rRNA from 1 species